rnacentral:rRNA from 1 species
CUGGCGGCGUGCCUAACACAUGCAAGUCGAGCGAGGAGAUUCCUUCGGGAUGAUCCUAGCGGCGGACGGGUGAGGUAACACGUGGGCAACCUGCCUCAUAGAGAGGAAUAGCCUUCCGAAAGGGAGAUUAAUACCUCAUAACAUUGCAGUUUCGCAUGAAACAGCAAUUAAAGGAGCAAUCCGCUAUGAGAUGGGCCCGCGGCGCAUUAGCUAGUUGGUGAGGUAACGGCUCACCAAGGCGACGAUGCGUAGCCGACCUGAGAGGGUGAUCGGCCACAUUGGGACUGAGACACGGCCCAGACUCCUACGGGAGGCAGCAGUGGGGAAUAUUGCACAAUGGGGGAAACCCUGAUGCAAGCAACGCCGCGUGAGUGAUGACGGCCUUCGGGUUGUAAAGCUCUGUCUUCAGGGACGAUAAUGACGGUACCUGAGGAGGAAGCCACGGCUAACUACGUGCCAGCAGCCGC